CCCAUUAAAGAGUUCAUAUAUGCGUGUAGUUGUUUUGUGCAGUGAUUCUGUAGUUUUUUUCUUAUCAAUAAUUUACAUACAAUAAUCAUGGGUACAUCAGAUUUAGAAUGUGUAGAGUCUAAGAGAGACAUAGUCGGUGUAGAUUCUGAAUCCGACAUGUUAGUAGACCAAAGAAAGAAAAAGAAGAGGAAGCAUAAACAUCAUAAACAUAAGAAAGAUAAAUUAAUUGAGAGAGAAGAUGGAAGGAUAGAGCGUCAAGAACGAAAAAGGCACAAGAAACAUAAACGACCUAAAAAAGAAAGAGAAGUUGAAAAUGGAUCAGUAGAUGAUAAAACAACCCGCACUAUUCAGAAAGAUGUAGGUGUAAAUGGCAAAGUAAAAAAUUCUUUAUUGGAAGUGGUUUCCACUGAAGAAAGUGAGGAUGAGAAAUUAGUAGACUUAGAUUCAGAUGAAGUAGAUUGUACAAUCAUUGAAGAUGAUAUUGACCUGGAAGAAUUAAUGAAACAAAAGGAACGCUUACAAGCAUGUUUAGUUCAGUAUCUCUCGGAUGAAUCUGAGAAGGAGGAUAAAGAACCAGAUCAAGGUGAAAUAAAAGCUACUGAAACACCUGAUGUUAUACUUGUAGAGGAUGAUAGUGAAAAUGACAAUAUACCCCCUAAAAAGCGAACUAGAAGUAAGUCUGGCAGUAGAGAACGCAAAAAAGUAGCAAAACCUGAAAGACGUGUAGUGGUAGAUAUGAGUAGGGAUCGUAGGAGUCGAGAGGAACAUAAAGAUAAGAGGAGAGAAUCAGAUAGGAGAAGAGAAGACAAAAUCCGUACUAAAGAAGAGGCUAGGAGAGAAGAUAAUAGAAAAGAUGAUAGGCAAGUAAGGAAAACGAAUGAUAGACACAGGGAAGACUCCCGAAAGGAAGAUAGUAAGAGACGUCCGGAAGAUGACAAACGUAAAGAUUCCAUUAAAAGAGAUGAAUCGCGUAAAAGAGAACAAGAUAGAAGGGAAGAAGAACGAAGACGAGAAUCAGAUCAUCAUAAUUCCAGACCCCGUAAUGAAUACAAAUCACUAGAUAAGAACGAUAAAUCUAGACGAGAUAGUCGCGAUAGAUUAGAAAGCAGAGAACGACAAAAUAGCCGAGACCGACAUGUAAGUCGCGACAGACAUGUUAGUCGGGAUCGGCAUGUCAGUCGAGAUCGUCAUGUUAGUCGGGACCGGCACUUGAGUCGCGAUCGACAUAUCAGUCGAGACAGACACCCUAGCCGGGAUCGUCAUGCCAGCAGAGAUCGACCGGCUAGUCGUGACCGCCGUAGUCGAGAUAGGCCUUCCAGCAGAGAGCGACAUAGUCGUGAUAAGAGAGACAGUAGAGAGCGUCAUACUAGUCGAGAUCGACAUAGGGAUAAUAGAAAUAGUCGCGAUCGUAACGAUAUGAUGCGAGAUCGGCGAGAUAGUCGAAAUCGCGACAGAAUUAGAGAGCGUUCAAGAAGUACAAGAAGAUCUCGUAGUCCUAUUAGGAGUAGACUGGAUAGAGAUCGAAAUGAUCGAUACAAACGUUCUAGGUCAAUGUCCCGAAGUAGAAGGGAUAGAGACAAACAUGGUAGAGAUCAUGAUAGAGACAGAGAGAAAAAUGGUAAGAGGGAACGUAGUGAUAAGUUCAAAGACUCUCUGUCAGAAGGUCUCAAAGCAGAACGUUCAGAUAGUUCAAGUGAAGAAGAUAUCAAGGAUAUUGAUAUUGAAGAAGAAGAAGAUGAAGAAGCUAUUAUUGAACGUAGAAGAAAACAAAGAGAAGAACUUCUGAAGAGGUUAGGUGGACCAAAUGAAGAUUCAAAUAUGUCGGCUGAUAUAAACACCGUUCCUGCGACUCCACCAUCGGAAAGUCAAUCAAAUGUGUCACAGAAGUCGAUAGAAAUUCCAUCUAAUAAUAACGAAUCCACAUCGGAGAGUCACACCCCACCACUGCCCGAGAAGCCAAAGUCACCGCAAAUUAAGAAGAGAAAAUCCAGAUUCGAAGACGCUCCACCAGAAGAGGCUGACAAAAAUGAAGACAUAAAACCAACGGAAAAGAUUAAACUAGAGGAGAAACAAAAUCCAAAAAAGGCGAACGAGUGGGACAUGUUUGCCGAAGCAGAUAAUAUUGGCGAUUUUAAUAGUCCCACUGUGGAAGGAAAACGUCAAGGUGGACCAGAUAAUCCAAGUUUAACAGACAACUGGGAUGAUGCAGAAGGAUAUUAUCGAGUACGUGUAGGUGAAACAUUAGAUUCUCGAUACGUUGUUUAUGGAUACACUGGUCAAGGCGUAUUUAGUAAUGUUGUAAGGGCUAGAGAUACUGCUAGAGGUAACUUGGAUGUUGCUGUAAAAAUAAUAAGGAACAAUGAAAUAAUGCACAGAACUGGCCUUAAAGAGUUAGAAAUUCUUAGAAAACUUAAUGAUGCAGAUCCAGAAGACAGAUUUCACUGUUUACGACUUUUUAGGCAUUUUUUUCAUAAAAAUCAUUUGUGCAUGGUAUUUGAACCUUUAGCUAUGAAUUUAAGAGAGGUUUUAAAAAAAUAUGGGAAAGAUGUUGGUUUACAUGUUAAAGCGGUAAGAUCGUAUACGCAGCAACUUUUCCUUGCUCUCAAGUUAUUAAAACGUGCAAAUAUUCUGCAUGCUGACAUCAAACCGGAUAACAUUCUAGUCAGUGAAAGCAAGCUAGUACUGAAACUCUGCGAUUUUGGCUCAGCGUCCCAUGCUCAUGAGAAUGAGAUAACACCAUACUUGGUAUCAAGAUUUUAUCGAGCACCAGAAAUUAUUCUUGGUAUACCGUAUGAUUUCGGCAUUGACAUGUGGUCUGUGGGAUGCACCAUAUACGAAUUGUACACGGGGAAAAUAAUGUUCUCGGGCAAAACAAACAACCAAAUGUUGAAAUUCUUCAUGGACCUAAAAGGCAAAAUGCCUAAUAAGUUGAUUAGGAAAGGCACAUUCAAGGACGAACAUUUUGACUCUAACUGCAAUUUCCUGUAUCAUGAAGUUGAUAAGGUCACGGAGCGGGAAAAAGUUGUAGUCAUGUCUACAUUACCCGCCACACGUGAUCUAGGCGGUGAACUGGGUGGAAAUUCUUUGCCACCAGAACAAAGUCGCAAAGUUGGACAGCUGAAAGACCUUUUGGAGCGUACAUUGAUGUUGGAUGCAGGAAAGAGAAUCACUGUGAACCACGCCCUGGCGCAUCCCUUUAUACAAGAAAAGAUCUAGGUCAAUAGAGUGCAAUAUUUUUAUAUUAAAAUUAAUAACCACUACGAACGAUGAAUAAAAAUGUUGGAGUUCACCAUUGAUGCAUUUAUCGACGAUCAUAAAAACAACACAUAUUUGUACUCGACUCGGAACAAUCGAUAAAAUAAUAAAAACCAACACGAUGAAUACUAGAAGAAGAGGCAUGCCGAAUAUACGUGGUUAAUCAAUAACUUCCGUGGACGAAAAUGAAAACUGGGAAAAGUGACCGCCUCUUUCAGCAUGAACUGGCCAUCGAUACUUAGCAUAAUGGUGAUAUGAGUCUUCGAUACAAAGCAUCGUUAAGUGCGGGUGGACCUUUCGUGGGCUUUUAACGCCGAUCCCGUUGCAAGCCCUCCCUGUGAGGAGGGGAGGCAAAGGAAGAGAUGAAAUCAGUUGGUGGAAAACAUCAUGAAGGAAUACGGGGUGAGAUCCUCGCGGCAGCAGCUUGACAACUGUAUAAAAAUGAUGCCUAACGCAAAAAGGAUCGCCAAAUAUUUAAUAUAGAUUU
rnacentral:misc_RNA from 1 species